CGGGUGUUAAAAGUGCUGUUUGUGCAGGUAGCUGUGUUUUCUCUACUGUAGAAGCAGCACUUCACGACACAC
ensembl:miRNA